rnacentral:rRNA from 1 species
CCUGUCCUUAGUACGAGAGGACCGGGAUGGACGUACCUCUGGUGUACCAGUUGUCCUGCCAAGGGCAUGGCUGGGUAGCUAUGUACGGAAUGGAUAAGCGCUGAAAGCAUCUAAGCGCGAAGCCAACUUCAAGAUAAGAUUUCCCACCGCAAGGGUAAGACCCCAGAAAGACUAUCUGGUUGAUAGGUCGAAGGUGUAAGUGCAGCAAUGUAUUUAGCUUAUCGAUACUAAUAGGUCGAGGACUUGACCAAU